UUCCUGGCUCAUCCUGGCUCAAAAAGCACCCCCACUGAGCACCUUGCAACCCCCAUUCCUGCCCGCCAGAGAACAAACCCCCUUUGACUACGUGCAUGAAAUUUGGUGCCCUGACUCGGAUCGGGAGACCUCCUUUGGGAGAUCAAUCCCCUAUACUCCUGUUCUUUGCUCCAUGAGAAAGAUCCACCUAUGACCUCAGGUCCUCAGACCAACCAGCCCAAGGAACAUCUCACCAAUUUUAAAUCAGUUUUUCAAGUGGUACCUGAGAUUCAGCACUUCUAAAAAGCUCCAAGGUGAUGAAGGUGCUGCUAUUUGGAGGCCAUACUUUGAGUUGCCAGAUGCUAAAAAUUCAACAGAUGGGAGUAGGAUUUAAUGGCAUCAAGAUUACAGCAAGAGUGUCGUCAAUGUCUGAGAGAAAAGGCACAGGACAAUUCAUGUAAUCUACUUUUUAACUCCUCACUAUGCCAGCAGCACACUUGGAGAGGAAUGUUAUAAUGGAAGAAGCUGCCCAGUCACUGAUUAAAAUGUUUACUGAAACCUUUUCUCCAGACAAAAUGUGACAAAAUCUGAUAGAAUUUGUUGUCAGCAGACGAACAUAACAGGAAAUGUUAAAAGAAGUUCCUCCCUGAAGAUGAAGAAAAAUGAAGCCAGAUGGAAAAUUGAAUUUACACAAGGAAUGACAGUGUCUAGAAUGGUAAAUAUGUGCAUGAAUAUAAAACACUUUGAAAUUUUAAUUUUUAAUACCUUUAAAAUAUAAUUAAGUAAAAUGAAUUAUUUUGAGGUCUAUAACCCUGAUGUAAGUAAAAUGUAUAACAACAAAGCACAAAAAUCAGUUCGGAGGAAAUAAAAUUAAAUGUUGCAAGGUCCUUUGAUGAUACAUGAAGCAGAGUAAUAUUAUUUGAAGAUAGACUGGAAAAAGCAGAAGUAUGGCCGCUAGCAGUGAAUAGCAUUAAAAUUUCAUCAGAUAAUUUAAGUGCAUAAAAAUAUUAUAUUUUUAUAUAAUAUUGUAUAUAAUAAAUAUUAAAGAUGAGUGACUAGGGACAUUGAAUACCCACCCUGUCCAAAAGGAAGAAUCAAAAUUAUGAAUAGAUAAUUGUACCUGGAACAGAACAUCUAGGAGAGAACACUAGAGUCCAACAGAAAAGCCACAAGAAACACCUGGGGCAUAGAAGAAGAAAGUGAGUGGUCAGCUCAGUUGAGAUCGGGAUCAACUGGGAGCCCAGGGGUGCUCAGUGUUGUAAGGAAAAGGUAAGGGAGAGAACUUCAGCAGUCCACAUCUCCAGCAUGGACUGCUGCAAUCCUAACCAUGGGAGAAGUCCUGUACUCACACAAACACUAGUGUAGGCUCCAAACACUAGUGAUUUGGAGAACCCAUGAGGGCACUGAACCAGACAGGGAACUCAAACUGGGUCACUCACCGCAUUGAGACCUAAGUGGCUACAGCAAGGUACCAAUGUGAGAACACAGCCAUGACAAGACUGCUUCCUGCCCUGGGAACCAUAGCUCCCAUAUCUCCACAACUUGGGAGCCCCCACUGACAUCCCCUAGUGCCUACCCAAAGAGCUACAGUGUCAUCGUGCUGUCUGGACCGAAAGGUGUUGUGGAAUCCCCAGUAUUCUAGCCCACAGGGAUUACUACUCUCCAGAAAAAAAGGAUAGUUCAGAUCACCAAAAAGGCAGCACCACUUAGGACAAAGGAAACAAAAGCACAUGCUUUCUGGGCUGAGAGCUUUCUGUUUGGGGAUGUGAGAAGUGACCCUGCUCCAAGCAGUGGCACAAACUGUGCUCAGCCUUGCAAACAGAGUGAUAUCCCUUCCCACUGGCAGAGUGGCUUCUACGCUUGGACCGACACAUAGAAAAUGGAAUCCCUUCUCCUGCCCCUUGCACUUCUGUAGGCACAGCUGCUGUUGCUACCGCAGGAGGCUGGGGCAGUAGAGCUGAAUGGCUGCCUUUUUGGGGCUGUUAGUUGUGAGUGUACCCCCACAUGUGGUGUGGCCUCCAUGCAUGGACUGUCCCAUGAAAGAUGGGUGUCCUCACCCUGUGCAGUGCUGCUGCUACUGAGAGUGGCAAGGCUGGGAGCUGCAUGUCUGAGACUGUGGCUGUCAACCCCUUACCACGUCACCACCAACACCAGUGUACACCACUCAGGACCAAGAGAGUCAUCCUGCUGCUGCUAUCUAUCACCUAUAUACCAUGCUUCUGUCACCCAUAUACCAUGCAAACUGCUCAGGACCCAAGAAUCCGCUCACCUACCUAGAUGAAUGUUGCCACUCAGGCCAUCUGAGCAAGCUAUCUGGAGGCUCAAGAAUCAGUCCAUCUGAUUCCAUUAACAUUGAUGACAGUGUAUGCUACCCUGGAGCACAAAAACAGGCAUGUUUACCCACUGCUGCCACCAUGGGGGUCUGAAAACUGGCCUACCUGGCAUCCUUGUUUGCCACAAAAUUUUACCAUAGCCUCCACUAAUAACUGCACCCUGAACAACCUGAGGAAAUAACAGAUACCACUCAGGCUGUCACAGCUGAAAAAUCAUUCAGGGAUUACACUGUCUCAUGCACCCAGAAUAAAAGCUAAAAGGUCUUACCCAACCAACACUAUUGAUAUAUUUUCAGGAAAAAGUACCCCCCUCCAAAAGAAAAUUUGAAAAAAAAAUUAAAAAGCAAGAAAAUGUGAUACCUACAAAAGGACAUAAUAAGUCCAGCAACAGAUCACAAUAUAAAAGAAAUUCAUGAAAUUCCAAAAAAAGAAUUCAAAAUUAUGAUAUAAAAGAAGCUCAGUGAAAUACAAAAGAAUUCUGAAAAACAAUACGAGGAAAUCAGAAAAACAAUCCAAGACAUAAAUGAUAAAUUUACCAAAGAGAUAGAUAUCAUAACAAAGAACCAAGCAGAAAUUCUAGAAUAAAGAACUCCAUGAAUGAAAUACAAAAUAUAUUUGAAAGCUUCAAAGACAGGCUAGAUGAAGCAGAAGAAUAUCAGAACUUAAAGACAUGUCUCUUGAAAUAACCCAGUCUGAAAACAAUAAAGAAAAAAAGAGUUUUAAAAGUAUAAAAAGUAUAAGUCAGACAACAAUCAAAAAAAAUAAUUUUAAAAGUAUAAAUAGUGGGCCAAAUGGCUUACUAUAAACAGCUGCCGUUACAGGUUCCCACCAAGAAGAACCAAAAUAGCAUGUGAAUCCUGCACUGGGAACUGAGGUAUCCAUGUUCUAUUAUCAGGACUGACUAGUAGGUUGACAUGACCCAUGGAGAGCAAAGAAAAGAGAGGUGAUGUGAUGGCUCACCUGAGAGCCACACCUGGCAAGGGGAGCCGCAACCGCCAGCCAAGGGAGGCAGUGAGUGAUUGUGCUACCCAGCUUGGUAAACCCUGCUUUUUCAAUGGAUCUGUGCAACCCGUGGAUAGGGAGAUCAUACUCAUGAACCCAUCCCACCAGGGCAUUCGGUCCCAACCACAGAGUCACACAGAUUCUCAAUAGCCACUUGGCUGGAGACUGCCUAAGACUACUGAGCUCCCAGGGGAAGGGGAGGCCAUCAUCACUGCUGCUGCCUGCUGCCUUAGAAAACUGAGCACCCCAGGUGAGGGACGGCAGCCAUCACUGCAGCUGCCUGCUGCCUAAGAUGACUGAACUCCUGGCGGUGGGGGUAGGGCAGCAGCCACCCCUGCAGCUUCAGUCCGCUGUUUUUCCCCUGCAAUGCCAGGGAGACUGAAUGGUUUGGACUUAAGAGGUAUUCCCCACAGGAUAGCACACUGGCUGUGGCAGAUCGUAGACAUACUGCAUCUUUAGGCCAAACUCUUCCCCAUGCCUCCUGGGCAGGCCAUCCCUCCAGGAACUUCAGCAACUCCAGCCAGAGGCUUAGGGACAAAACUCUGAUCUCCAUGGACCUGAGCCCUAGGGAGUGGGGUGGAUGUGGUCUCUGAGGACCAACAGACUUAGUCUUUCCCCCUGCUAGUUCUGAGGAAUCCAGGCAGCCCAGACCAGUGGGUUUCCCCCAAGUGCAGAACACCCCCUCCACAAAGGGACAGCCAGAGUGCUUUGUUAAGUUGGUCCCAGAUCCUGUGCCCCUGACGGGUGAGAUACCCCAACAGGAGUCACCAGACACCUUAUACAGGAGCAUUCCUGCUGACAUCAGGUUGGUGCUCCUCAAAGACAGAGCUCUCAGAGGAAGAAGCAGCCACCACCUUUGCUGUUCUUCAGCCUCUUCAAGUGACAUCUACAGGCGUGGGAGGGACCCAGGUGAAUAGGGCCUGAAGUGAACCAUCAGCAAAUCACAGCAGCCCUACAGAAGAGUAGCCUGACUGUUAAAAGGAAAACAAACACACAGAAAGCUACCACAACAGCAUUAACAAAAAUGUCCCCACAAAAACCCCAUCCGAAGAUCAGCAGCCUCAAAGACCAAGACAAUGGGGAAAAUGUCUCCAGCACAUAUCAAAGUUCUUCAUGGCAGCCACUCUCGUCACAGGCCUGGAAGACUAGGAGGAAAAAGUGGUUUUGUGGGCUGGGCCCAGGGUCCCCAUGCUAUGUGCAGCCUAGGGACUUGGUGCCCUGUGUCCCAGCCACUCCAGUCAUGGCUGAAAGGGGCCAAUCUAGAGCUCAGGCUGUGGCUUCAGAGAGUGCAAGCCUCAAGCCUUGGCAGUGUCCACUUGAUAUUGAGCUUGCCAGUAAACAGAAGUCAAGAAUUGGGGUUUGGGAACCUCCUUCUAUAUUUCAGAAGAUGUAUGGAAAUGCCUGGAUGUCCAGGCAGAAUUUGCUGGAGGGGUGGGGCUCUGGUGGAGAACUACUGCUAGUGCAGUGCAGAAGGGAAAUGUGGGGUCAGAGCCCCUACACAGAGUCCAUACUGGGGCACCUCCUGGCGGAGCUGUGAGAAGAGGGCCACCAUCCUCCAGACCCGAGAAUGGUAGAGCCACUGACAGCUUGUACUGUGCAUCUGGAAAAGACGUGGACACUCAAUGCCAGUCUGUGAAAGCAGCCAGAAGGGAGGGUGUACCCUGCAAAGCCACAGGGACAGAGCUAUC